UUGUUAUACAGGUGGGCGCCUGGCUUCAACACUUGAAAUGAAAAGACUGAAAUGUAUUCCUCUCGUUAUACAGGUGGGCGCCUGGCUUUAGGAAAAUUAAACAUUGAUAAUCUAAAAGGCUAAAAAUGACUCUUUUUUUUUAUCCUAGGAGAAAAUUCAUCGGACUAGGUCUUGUUUUUUAUUAUCUUAGGAGAAAGAUUCAUCAAACUAAGAUUUUGAUCCUAGGAGAAGGUUCGUCAGACUAGGUCUCUAUCUUAGGAGAAAAAUUCAUCAGACUAAGAUUUGGAUCCUAGGAGAAGGUUCAUCAGACUAGGUCUCUAUCUUAGGAGAAAAAUUCAUCGGACUAAGAUUUUGAUCCUAGGAGAAGGUUCAUCAGACUAGGUCUCUAUCUUAGGAGAAAAAUUCAUCGGACUAAGAUUUUGAUCCUAGGAGAAGGU
rnacentral:lncRNA from 1 species